UACGGGGGGGGCAAGCGUUGUUCGGAAUUACUGGGCGUAAAGGGCUCGUAGGCGGCCAACUAAGUCGGACGUGAAAUCCCCAGGCUCAACCUGGGAACUGCGUCCGAUACUGGAUGGCUUGAAUUCGGGAGAGGGAUGCAGAAUUCCAGGUGUAGCGGUGAAAUGCGUAGAUAUCUGGAGGAAUACCGGUGGCGAAGGCGGCAUCCUGGACCGAGAUUGACACUGAUGAGCGAAAGCCAGGGGAGCAAACGGG
rnacentral:rRNA from 1 species